GUGCACACGUUAGGGUUGCACAAGAGGUGAUCAACAUAUCCCACCGCGAAGAGGAAAGCAGCAUUAACCUGGAACAUUUGAAUCCUGGGGCAGACAGGUAAAUGUCUUUGGAGAUGGGAGGAGAUAAGGUCAUAGAGGUAAGGAAUUGAGAAGUGAAUUAAGGAAAGAACUGUCAGGAACAACUGCAGGAGAGGAUGGCAUGAGGAAGAGAAAUUGGCAGAGCAGGGGGUCACUGUGAUACAAAGAAUCUGAGGCCAACACAGGGGCUCUGAAGAGAGCAGCAAACUAUAAAAAAGUUUAUAGCCAGUGAAGGGGACAAGGCCAAAGAUGCAAGAGACAGAAGGCAUUCCCAACAGGGUGUGAGGUUCAGGUGGGACAAGAAGGAGGCAGGCUCAGAGACGCAGAGGGGGGGAUUCCUUUAGACAGGAGGUGGAGCUGUUUUCUUAGAAAGGGCGAAACUACCAAAGAUAAAAUCUGCAGAGAGUAAGGAAAGAAGUUGGUGGAACUGAGGCCCGAUGGCUUUGGACCAAUUCAGAAAACCAAGAGGCAAACUCAGCUUAUGACUUUCUUAAAGCACUGAGUUCCUGAAAAAGUGCCAAACUGAAUGGUGCAGUCCUGCCGAAAGAGACCCUGCGCUGUGCUGUGUUCUCAAAGGAAGGAAUGUGUUUCACAUCUCUACACCUCUGCAACUUGGGACAGUGUAGCUUUCCUAUUUUCUGGCACCCAAAAAGGGACAGCUGAUACACCCCACUCACUCCAGACUCUGCAGAUGAGAUCUGGGACAACUGACAAAAAGCUGGAGACAGGUAAGAAUUCUUGCCAAGGUCAGCUCUCCUGGAUCUUUAUCAGUAGCACCCCGUGGAGAGAAGAAGGUUAAAAACUUUUUCUUUUCCCCUACUUCCCAAAUUCUGAUUAUCAAGAGAAAAUCAUUUGUUUGAAUUGUGACUCCUAUGUAAAUGUGAUUUGGGGUACCCAUUCAUUAUUGAUCCUUUCCCUCCCAGGGACAGCUAUAACUUUCCUAUUUGUCUUGUGUCCUGAGAACUUAGCUUGACUUUCUACCUGUCAGGGCAUGCAAAUUGUUGGCAUUGUAGUCCAUAAAAUUAAGCUGUAAAUAGCUAAAGUUAGACCAGCCAGGAUGCCAAUCAACUUUUGUUUUGCUUUGCUUUUCUGCAUUUUGGGGUACAUGGAGAAAGUCUGGAAGAUGCUGCCCUGCCUACAUAAGGACAUGACGACCUUGUAACCUCACUUGAAUCUUUGGUCAUACAAUCUCUCGUAUUCUGAAGAUUCACCUGGAAGAGAAGAACGAUCAUCAAUGGCAAGUGACAGUAGCAGCAAAGCAACUCCAUGAGCCAGCUUCAUGCUCAGGAUCAUCCUGCGCCUUCUCCUCAUGGGUUCUGCUGCUCUUCUGCAGGCUAAAAAUAUAACAAGCAAAGACUGAGAAGGAGCUGGAAGAAAUUAAGAAGAAUGCUUUCCAACGUUUGGAAAUUCCUUGAACGAUGCACAUAUAAUGUAUAUGCAAUAACUCUUCAGUAAAGGAAAAGACAUAAAGAAAUGAGAGACUGCAUAAAAGCCUGGGCAAUUCUAUAUUUUAAAUAAUAAGGUGAAACGGCAAAAUGUUUUGUUCUACGUGGUAUCUGUUCAACUGUAAUUCUGUACUCCACAUGAUGUGAAAAUCUAAGUUUGAGCAAAGUUGGCCUUCUUUUUUUCUUUAAUCCACACUGACAUUGUGCCCAGAGAUGGGGCUCCAGCUGUUGAGGGACUAGAAGAACCUCAGGGAGUGAGUGAUCAGCUCAAUACCGAAUCCUCCGUGUGCCAAGAGGAUCCCUUUGACCCUGAAGCCAUUGCAAAUUGUUGCUUUUUCUUGUAAGUAGAGUCUGCCCCCACGUGGUGAAAGUGAGAGGCUGCUUUUACACACCAGGACGCCUUCCUCUCGCUUCUAGGGCAGCAAUUUUUGUAGCGACUGGCGCCCUUUUACCACCAUUCUAUCUUUGAACUGCUCUUCCUUCUUCCCUUCCCUCUGUCCUACUUCCCCCUUUUCCUCUUCUCCUUCCUUUCGUCUUCUUUCUGUUUCAUCCCCUCUACUUCUUCCUUCCCCUUUGCUUUCCUGAGCCCUCCACUGUAUUAUUCAGUGGCCCAGACCCCGUGUCUGGGGGAGGAUCUGGACUCUGAUUUGAGGAAUUCAGGAAAGACAAUUUCAAUAAAUAAUUAGAGAAUAAUCACUUUAAGGGAUAACAACAUGACAUCGUAGAUCCUGAACCAGAGAUUGAGAUACCUGGCUUUCACACGCCGUGGCUCUGUCCCAGAAAUAGGAUACAGAUAUGACAUGUUUAUAUGCAAAGUAAGAAAUCUAGGCGUAAGCAUAGCUUCAUAGAGAACCAGGAGGCAGAAAGACAAAAUGGGUUCAUCUGCCCUCUUUUUAAAAAAAGCAGUAAAGACACCUAAUGCUGAUCCCACCAGCUCCCGCUGAGCCACUCCAAAUACAUGCAAUCUAAGCAAUCGAAAACCAAUGCUCAUGUGGCAAUACAGCCUCAAGAUAAAGCUCCUUGCUUCCCUCGUGGUCCUAUUACAGGCAGCCCGUCAUCCCUAGGGCCAUCCUGAGCAACCAGUCCACCCUGGACAUCAUUUUCAUCAUGUCACAUCCCUACCCAGAAAUCUUCAAAGGUAUGUUGCCUUCAAAGUCCAAAUACCUCGUGCAUUAUUCAG
rnacentral:lncRNA from 1 species